rnacentral:rRNA from 1 species
GACGUAGGGCGCGAGCGUUGUCCGGAUUUAUUGGGCGUAAAGCGCACGUAGGCGGCUUGACAAGUCGAAUGCGAAAGCCCCCGGCUCAACUGGGGAGGGUCAUUCGAUACUGUUCGACUCGAAGGCAGGAGAGGGAAGUGGAAUUCCGGGUGUAGUGGUGAAAUGCGUAGAUAUCCGGAGGAACACCAGUGGCGAAGGCGGACUUUCUGGCCUGUUCUUGACGCUGAGGCGCGAAAGCUAGGGGAGCAAACGGG